rnacentral:lncRNA from 1 species
UUACUCUCGUACUUUUCGUUACUCUCGUACUUUUCGUUACUUUCGUACUUUUUGUUACUCUCGUACUUUUCGUUACUUUCCGUUACUUUCGUACUUUUAGUUACUCUCGCACUUUUCGUUACUUUCGUACUUUUCGUUACUCUCGUACUUUUCGUUACUUUUGUACUUUUCGUUACUCUCGUACUUUUCGUUACUCUCGUACUUUUCGUUACUUUCUUACUUUUCUUUACUCUCAUACUUUUCGUUACUCUCGUACUUUUCGUUACUUUCGUACUUUUAGUUACUCUCGUACUUUUUGUUACUUUCGUACUUUUCGUUACUCUCGUACUUUUAGUUACUCUCUUACUUUUCGUUACUUUCGUACUUUUCGUUACUCGUACUUUUCGUUACUCUCGUACUUUUCGUUACUUUCGUGCUUUUCGUAACUCUCGUACUUUUCGUUACUCUCGUACUUUUCGUUACUGUCGUGCUUUUCGUUACUCUCGUACUUUUCGUUACUCUCGUGCUUUUCGUUACUUUCGUGCUUUUUGUUACUCUCGUACUUUUCGUUACUCUCGUACUUUUCGUUACUUUCGUGCUUUUCGUUACUCUCGUACUUUUCGUUACUCUCGUACUUUCCGUUACUUUAGUGCUUUUCGUUACUCUCGUACUUUUCGUUACUUUCGUACUUUUCGUUACUUUAAUACUUUCCGUGACUUUAGUACUUUCCGUUACUAUCAUACGUUUCGUUACUUUUGUACUUUUCGUUACUUUCAUACUUUUAGUUACUUUUGUACUUUUCGUUACUCUCAUAUGUUUUGUUACUUUUGUACUUUUCGUUACUAUCAUACGUUUCGUUACUUUUGUACUUUUCGUUACUUUUGUACUUUUCUUUACUCUCAUACGUUUCGUUACUUUUGUAUUUUCCCUUACUUUUCGUUACUUUUGUACUUUUCCUUACUUUUGUGCUUUAAGUUAUUAUCGUUACUUUCGUUAUGCCUUCAUAUGUGGUGUGUGUCUGUGGACCGUGUGUGCGCUCCUCUGUUGUGUGUGUGGAGAUGCUCGUUCAUCCCGGUCAAAGUUUUCAGCGAGCGCGUUGAAUCAGGAGCAGCCGGAGUUGAUUGGAGUUGGUUCAUCCAAGAAGCUCACUCGGUUCUUGGAUGA